AGGAAUGUAUAGCAAUAGCUAGUUGCAUCAUUGUAAAUAUGAUGCAAGAUUGACUAUGUUGAAUAAAAUUCUAGGUAGAGUUAUGAUAAUGACAUUUUCUGCCUAUGUGUCUUGACCAAAUUACGUGCCAGCAGUCGCGGUAAUACGUAGAAGACUAGUGUUAUUCAUGUUUAAUCGGUUUAAAGGGUACCUAGACGGCAGAUCAAGCUUUCCGAGAAGAAAAAAAAAAUGAAAAUAUGGACUAAAAAAAAAGAAAAAGGACUAAUUUGCUAGAGUUACUUACGAGGGGGUUUUAAAGUACUGCUGGUGUAGAGAUGAAAUUCUAUGAUACCUCUUUUCGAAAGAAAAAAUAAUGGCACAGGUAUAGGCGAAGGCAUCCCCUUAUGUGAUAACUGACGUUGAGGGACGAAGGCUUUAUAUAACAAACAGGAUUAGAUACCCUAGUAGUGGAAGCAGUAAAUGAUGAAUGUCAUAGAUUAGAUUAGUUUAUUCUAUAAAUGAAAGUGUAAGCAUUCCACCUCAUGAGUAAUUUGGCAACAUUGGAAUUGAAAUCAUUAGACCGUUUCUGAAACCAGUAGUGAAGUAUGUUGUUUAAUUUGAUGACCCGCAAAAAACCUUACCACAAUUUGAAUAUUUAUAUUAUACUUAUUGUUUUUUUAUUAAUUUUCUUUAAGCAUUCAAUAAUGAUUCAAGAAUAUUAGUAAAGAGGCGAUAAGAUAUAUUUACAAGCGUUGCACGGCUGUCUUCAGUUAAUGUCGUGAGAUGUUGGUUAGAUCCAUUAAAUUAACGUAAACCCUUACUUUAUUUUUAGAUAGAGUUGUUCCCCACUAGAUUGGAUUAGAU
rnacentral:rRNA from 1 species